UGGGGAAUAUUGCACAAUGGGCGCAAGCCUGAUGCAGCCAUGCCGCGUGUAUGAAGAAGGCCUUCGGGUUGUAAAGUACUUUCAGCGGGGAGGAAGGGAGUAAAGUUAAUACCUUUGCUCAUUGACGUUACCCGCAGAAGAAGCACCGGCUAACUCCGUGCCAGCAGCCGCGGUAAUACGGAGGGUGCAAGCGUUAAUCGGAAUUACUGGGCGUAAAGCGCACGCAGGCGGUUUGUUAAGUCAGAUGUGAAAUCCCCGGGCUCAACCUCGGAACUGCAUCUGAUACUGGCAAGCUUGAGUCUCGUAGAGGGGGGUAGAAUUCCAGGUGUAGCGGUGAAAUGAGUAGAGAUCUAGAGGAAUACCGGUGGCGAAGGCGGCCCCCUGGACGAAGACUGACGCUCAGGUGCGAAAGCGUGGGGAGCAAACAGG
rnacentral:rRNA from 1 species